rnacentral:lncRNA from 1 species
UGAUACUCCGUAGCUUCUUGCAAUCCUAUUCACAUCCUCGGACAUUCUACAAUCAAUGCUUCACACCAGAUGUCAUGUCAAGGUCUUCUACUCCACUUCAGUAUUCCAUCACAUACUUGCAUUUAUAUUUUUAUAUGCGAGGUAAAAGAGAAGAAAUAUGUUUGUAUUUUAAUAUCAUUCAACAGAAGAAAGAUUUUUCUUAUAGUUUUUGAAACAUGUUCUUUUACUAAUCCUUAAUUUACAACCCUAUGUAGAAUUAACCUACGUAAACGCGAGCAUAGGACCCAAGGGUGGCAGCUGGAAUGCUGGCUUUGAAAGUCCAGGUACCACAACAGGUAAAUACAAUCUUUCAAUUACGAUUAGAGUACAUUGAAUUCAAGUCAUCUAUGUUGUUAAUAUUGGUCUUAAAAUUAGCAUUCCUAAAUCCUAAUAUAUAGAACACAGAAAAGAGGACCAACAACAGAAAACAUAACUCCAAUAUAUACAAAGCAAGAGAAAUUCCUUGCUCAUUAUUAUGCAUCUGCCAAACAAAGCACUCUCGGAGUUUCAGUUACCAAAAUCUCAUACAUUAAAAACUAAUAGGAAUUAGAAAAAAGGAGCCAUGCAUCAAAAAUUGAUGAUGCAGACAUGAAUUACAAGAGCAUGCUUCUCUCACCAGCCAACAAGUAGUAGCUUCAGCAGAGCCAUUCGAAUAUAUAGACCAUUCUUUGCUUGCCUAAAAUAAGCAUCCCUAGGAUCCACAUCAACAUCCACAGUUAUUUACAUAAAGAAAUGAAUUAAACAAUUUAACCAACAGUUAAACAUAAAUAUUUGCUCAUAGAGAAGAAGACAAAAAGCAAAGAACAAGUGUCAGAACUAACCUCAUCAAGCCUCGGGAGUGGAUGCAUGAUCACUGCGUGCUUCUGCAUCACACCCAAUACAUCAUUUACCUCGAGCUUCUUGAUAAAGAUCAGCUCUCUCUCCAAAUCGUUCUCGCUGGAUGCGAGUUUGAUAAACCACGUCCAUAAGAUCAAAACUUUCUACCCAUUCAACUCCCUUGGAUGUGAGAUACUCUUUUAUGUCAUCCUAAAGUAGUGUUAAAAAAAUAAAAAUGCAUGAGAAGUCAUCUUUCUUUGUCAAAAAGUAUAUUGUAUUUCACUAUAUCCUAUAUCAAUUUAAUCAACAAAAACACAAAAUCAACCAUAAAAAUACUUAAUUUAAACAAAAUGUUGAAAGAAUGGGAGCUUGCUAUCUACCUUUAUACCUUCAUUUUCACCACCUCAGGAGAAACAAAGUAGAUCUUCACAUUUUUGUACUUGGAGAGCAGAUAUGCAAGUGACCGCACUGUCCUCCCGUUAGCAAGAUCUCCAACAAGUCCAACAUUAAUGCCAUCCAGUUUACCUACUUCUCUUUCAAUAGUGUAAACAUCUAGAAGAGCCUGUCGCACAUUAAAAAAAUGAGCAGUUUCUUUACAUGAAUGAAUACAUUGGUCUAACAAGGUUUUCUUUUUCCUUUUUAUUUCUGAGCUAUACAUUUAAAGACUUACGCUUAGCUAUAAGCAUUUCGUUGAGCAAAAUUAUUUCGAAAGACAAAUUCUGAAAUUAACCCACCCCCGAAAAAAACCCUACAAGUAUCGCACCAGAUAAUAAUAAUUAGAAGGGUUAAGUUCAGAUGACCACCUGAGGUUUGAGCGGUUUUCCACUUAACCACCUGUAGUCAGUAAAGUUACAUUUAAACUCUCGACUUUUUGAGUUGAAGUGAAUAACUGCUUUCUGUCAUGACUGUUACUUAAGUUGCAAAGACUUAAUUACCCUCCUUAUAUAUAAAGGACAGAUGCUGGAACAUGCGAGGGAAGAACAUAAAGGGAGGAAUAACAAAGUUCUAUUUGAUUCACAAAAAAAGUAGAGACAAAAAGAGUAGAGUACAACAUAUGAUUCACAUUCGAACGGCUAAAAAGCAGAGACAAAAACUAGAAGCAACUGCAAUGGCACUUUGUGAGUAAAAUCAUUGCAGUGAACCAUAAAAAACCAUUUGAUCCUUAAACUUCAAAACAACAAGCAAUCACUAGCAAGUAAAAGAAAACCCUCAUCCUGUACAGGGUUAUAGAUUCAACUCAAGUUAAUCUGACGUUGCAUAUUCACUAUGAAUAAAUAUUCUGCCUCGAGUUAAAAAUCCAAAAGGAUAACAUCUAAAAUUCAGAGUUAACAACGUCUAUUGCACAUAAUAACUAAUCAGAAACAACCCAGUAACACAGCACUAGUACAACCACCAAUUAACUCCUAGAACUAACCUACAAACUUGCAGACCCACAAUCACAACACAUGCAAUAGAUACAUCACAUAAAUUGAGCCAUGGGUUUUAUAUGCACUGAAGCAGUAAAGUUCCAUACAUCCUUCUAAGUAAAAAGGAAUUCUCUGUUUUUUCCCCUGUUCUUUUCUACAAGUAAAAAGAAGACUUACUUCUUUUCCCCUGUUCUUUUCUUCAUUCCCCUCUUCUUUUCCUCCCAUAAUCUGUUUGGCAACCUCUGUUUUUCAUUGAUUUUUGCAGCCAAAUCAAGCAAUUCUUGGUGACCGUUAAUUGGGAUUUUCCCAUAAGCCAAUUCCAAGGCCACAAUUCCCAAAUUCCAAAAGUCCGAUUUUUGUGUAAAUCCUUCAUAUCUAUGCCCUGAUGUCACAACUCCGGUGCUCUUCCCCAUUUUGUGACUAGUAUCAUCGCCGAAUACCCUGACCUAGUACCUCACAUAGGCAACGGUGAGGGAUCCGUGAGCCAAAGCGCCGAUGGACGAAAGACUGGGUCAUGGAAACGAGGAAGAACCACUCGGUGGGUUUGUAGGGAGAAUAAGAGGAGAAAAAUGAUCAGCGAGAACAGAUCUGUUGGAAUCAAAUUGAAUGAAACAGAUAUAUGAAAACAAAUCGUACUUGAUUGUGUGCUCAGAGAGAGGGAGAAGAAGCAAAAACCUUGAUUAUUGGGGAAGAAUCCCCGAAAGCAACAAGUUUGGGGCUUUUCGUGCACAGCUUAAGAGGAGAACAAUGUUUUAAAAGCCAAGAGGGAGAGAAGGAUAUUUUAGACAUUUUCUAGUUUUUUUUUACCGUUACACCCUCCUUUCAUGCGUUUUUGGCGUCUGACAUGCACGCACGGUUAAUUUGGAUGGAAAAGGUAACGUUUUCACUUCAACUCAAAAAGUCGGGAGUUUAAAUGUAGCUUUACUGACUACAGGUGGUUAAGUGGGAAACCGCUCAAACCCAAGGUGGUCAUCUGAACUUAACCCUAAUUAGAAUAAUAUCAUAACUUGAACUGAAUUCCUCUUGCAACAAAAGUCUUUACCUGAACACAAAGUAAGUUUUAAAACCAUGAGGUCUAUCUUCAAAACCAGAUAAAAUCCAUAUAAAAAUAUACAAACUUUCUACUCAACAAUUUGGCUAUACUGAGAUAUGUUAUGACAAAAAAGGGAAUUAAAGUUUAUCUACCAUGUAAAGAACUGGAACUAGCAUGUGAGAACGUUACCAAAGUCAUUAAGAGACAUAACAAUUUUGUAAAGGGAUCUCUCAUCAUUGUCACCAGUUAACGUCAAAAUCUACCCCAAUCCCAGUCCCAAGUUGUCCCACUUACUGCUUGAGUUUAAACAAGACACACACCCAGCCAGCCCUACCCCCUUAACAACUCCUUAACAAUUUUUUCCUGAGCUUUCUUUGUCGGCCCUAUCUCUUUUCUAGCAAUGAAUGCUGUAUAUGUUCAGAUAUUUUGCAGAAUAUCUCAAGCAAAACUCCACAAUUAUACAUUUUUCAGUAAUUAAGUCCACUAUAAUAUGCAAAAAAAAGUGCACUAAAAAAAUGAACAAGAUAAAAAAUUUCAGACUUGAGUUGGAUGUUGUCCUGGACCGUCCCCAGAAUUAACAACAGGAAUAUUGGCAGUAUUUGCCGCUCUUUUGGCAGCACCACUUUCAAAAUGCCUCAUCACAAUUAUAUCCCAGUACCCUUCAACAGUUCGUAUGGUAUCUGCAAAAUAAGUUUCAAGAUCAGAACCAAAAUAAGCAAAAUAACCUAAUGUAAGCUAAUAAAAGAGUAAGAAACUACGUUCCAGUGUCUCUCCUUUGGCAGCUGAUGAGAACUCACAUGCAUUUUCUGUUGUCAAAACUUCCCCAUCUAACCGUUUCAUAGCAGACUCAAAUGAAAGCCUAGUCCUUGUUGAAGGCUCAUAAAAGAGGGUGGCCAUUAGGUAACCCUUAAGAAUUUGGCUGCCGGGUGAGUUUAUCUCAAUCUUUUCCAUCUUACGCGCCACUUCAAAUAUAGCACUAAGAGUAUCCCUAUCAAACUGCUGAGCUUCAAGAACAUCAUCUAGUUGAAACUUAUUGCCCGCCAGAAAUGAAGGCGAGUAGUCAAUAUCUAUGGCCCUGCGUCGGACUUUAUUUCUCAAAUAUGUUAUGUCAGUAGAUAUCAUAAUUGACUUGGUCUGAGUUGACUGCAUAAAGAUUUUUGAAUUAGUGCACAUAAAUUCGCCAUGGCCCUCUAGUGUUUUAGGAGCAGGCAUGGCCCUCCGCAAGGCACCUGUGGAAUAUGAAGAUGAAAAAGCCGUUGCCAUUGAUAGAACCAACACCUGAAAAGGGUGAAAUUUCUCUAUUAAAGGUGAUUUCAACAAGCAAUUGAAAAUAGUAUGAACCACAAAAAAUAAAUACUAGUAACACAGAAAACUAAAGUUAAAACAGAUUGAAAAUCUCUGCAGCUGAUUUGCAUUAUAGUUAUUAUCUUACACAGAUAAAAAGAUUAAGUUUUUAUGAUUGAUUGAAAGCAUUUAAGAAUAUCACAGAGAGCAGAUAACAUAAAAAAAAAAGAAUUUGUUUCCGGAAAAGCUAAGAACUAAAAUUUGGCAACACAAAUUUCUUCUCCUUCCUCAAUUCCAUUCCCCUGUGUUUGUUAUAACAAACGAUAAGGGAAUGAAACUGAAUAGUAAUUUAUUAAGAAGAGGCCAAAAUCAACUAAUUACGAAUCUAUAGGCAAGAUGAAUUACAUAGAACUGAACUGAAAAUAUAGAUAGAUAGAUAGAUAGAUAGAUAGAUAGAUAGGUUACAAUGAUUUCAGUAGUAAUGAGUGAGAAAGAGAUUUUGAACCUUUCUUCUCCGGUGGGCGGCGGUGCUGGUUUGCUGCCAAAAUAUAAGGUAAGAGGGGAUCGAUAGGGCUUUUGUAUAUUAUAAAGACCCCACCAGAAUGAUGAGGGGUUAAAUACACUUUUUCCCUACUCUACUCGAAGUCGGUUUACAAAUGCAUCACUGAACUGAAUUUUUUACGGUCAACUCAUUGAACUAUACAUUAUUUACAAAAAGUCAUUUUACCGCCUAUGUCUGUUAACCAUUUAACAGAGAAAGAACAUGGCAAUACGUGGUAAUACUGACAACUGAUUAAAUAUAUUACGUGGAUGUUAUCCCUAAAUCUCUAAAUCCCAAAAUCAGACACAAAUCAAUUGUUCGUCUUUUGAAGAGAGGAAUCAAAACACUCUAUCCCCAAAAUCAGACCCAAAUCGAUUCCAACUCCUGCCUUCAUCCACAUAGAUCGACGAAGAAAAAGAAGACAAUUAAGAGUGGGACUAACAUGAGCUCUAGCGAAAAUAGUUUCACAAAUCGCGUCGAAGAUUGGGAGAUGCCCAGAACUCCAGUGACAUGCCGAUGUGGGAUUGUCGCACCGAUGGGGGUAGCUUGGAAAGAGGGAACUGCUGAUCCGGGUCGAAGGUUCAUCGGUUGUGCUCGUUUCAAGGUAUGUGACCUAAUUUCUUCUAGUUGGGCUUCAGAGACCUAAUUUUUGUUGUAAUAUUUAACACCACCAAAAGUUGAUCUGGUGUUGUUAAAUAUUCGAGUAUUAGAUGUUUGAGGAGUUAUUUGAAGAUUUCAAAAGCUGAUAAUUUCAAAGAGAGAUGGUUUUACUGUAUAUACUAUGGGAGUCUAAGAUUCAACAACUUCAACUUAUUCUAUAAAAAGUUACUGAUAUAUAGAGUGAAAUGGAGAUUGUUAUGUUUUUACUUACCUAAAUACCCAAUUUCAUGCUUGGUAAAACCAUGAAAUUUGUUGUAUGUUGUAAAAGCAUAUCUGUUAUGUGCAACUGAUUGCAGGAUAACAAGUUGUGUUGUAGGUUCUUUAAAUGGUGUGAUCCUCCAUUUACAGAGAGAUCAAGGGAAGUGAUAUUGCAGCUAAAAGGAAAGAUAGAAAGAAGCAAUGAAAAAAUUGAGAGUUUGAUGGAAGUAAUAAAGAAGAUGGAAACUGGGAACACAUUGAUGAGCAAAGGUGAGAUAUAUAAUGAAGAAAAAGAGGUUUUGGAGCUGCAAAUACAAGGGCAACAAUUGAGGAAGAAAAUUGACAAGCAAAGUUCGAUGGAGAAGAAAUUAUGGAUUGGUUUAGUAUUUUUUUGGAUUUUGUUUUUCAUUGUAUUGUAACCAAACGUAUAGAUCUGUAUAUUUGAAUGUAGUAAAGGAUUAAAGUAUGUAUUGAAGGUUAUGUUGGCAAGUAUGUAUUGAAUGCUUAAUGUUGGUUUUGAUGGUUGGCAAGUAUGUAUUGAAUGUUGAUUUGGUU